rnacentral:tRNA from 3 species
AUUAGCUCAGCCGGCAGAGCACCUGACUUUUAAUCAGGGUGUCCGGGGUUCGAAUCCCCG